rnacentral:rRNA from 1 species
CCUACGGGAGGCAGCAGUGGGGAAUAUUGCACAAUGGGCGCAAGCCUGAUGCAGCCAUGCCGCGUGUAUGAAGAAGGCCUUCGGGUUGUAAAGUACUUUCAGCGGGGAGGAAGGGAGUAAAGUUAAUACCUUUGCUCAUUGACGUUACCCGCAGAAGAAGCGCCGGCUAACUCCGUGCCAGCAGCCGCGGUAAUACGGAGGGUGCAAGCGUUAAUCGGAAUUACUGGGCGUAAAGCGCACGCAGGCGGUUUGUUAAGUCAGAUGUGAAAUCCCCGGGCUCAACCUGGGAACUGCAUCUGAAACUGGCAGGCUAGAGUCUUGUAGAGGGGGGUGGAAUUUCAGGUGUAGCGGUGAAAUGGGUAGAGAUCUGGAGGAAUACCGGUGGCGAAGGCGGCCCCCUGGACGAAGACUGACGCUCAGGUGCGAAAGCGUGGGGAGCAAACAGGAUUAGAUACCCGGGUAGUC